GUCUGGACUUUCCUCCUCUUGAGGGCCAGGCCCGCGUCCUGGCCUGUCCACAUCCAGAACGGACCGAGGCUGACCAAUUCCACACUGGAGGACAGCCCGGACCCAGGGAGGUUAAUCGCCCUCCACAAGAGAGCCCAACGAAGUUGAUGGGGCAGUUGCGGGCAGCCACUUGGAAGCAGACUCCCAGUCCUCCGGCAGGGGCUCCUAGGUCCAACAAAACACAGAAAAAGCAGCAAAUGCUCAUUUGGGACAUGCUGUUUGAAACGCCCUUCUGCGCCUGUGGACGCGCCGCGUGUGGGAGACCUCUCUGCAGGGUGACGCCCUCUCCCACAGAAGCACCUCCUGGCCCCAGCAUUGCUUCUCCCCCUCCCGGGAAGCAAGCGGCACGUGCUCGUGGACCCCGGGGCCCUGAAAGAAGGGUGCCUCCCCACAGGGCUCGGAUGGCCCGGCGGCCGGCAGGCACAGCGCUAUCAGGCCGCCGGGCCUGCCUGAAAGUGCCCCUCGGAGGCCGUGGGGGCUGGCAAGCCGGGAAGCCUUGGGUCUUCAGGUCUCGGCCCGGGUCCCCCAGUUCCAGCCUCAGAGGGCCCGCUGCGAAGGCCCAGGCACGUGUGGGCCAAAGAGGCAUUCCUGUGACGCCGCCUGGACACGCAGGCCGGCUGGGGCGGCCGCAGCAGUGCCUGGUUCGUGCGACCACGGGCACGGGCUGCUGUGUGUAAAAUGGCUGUCACGGGGCCUCAUGCGUGGAGGCCCUCAGCGCGGACCUCGCUGUGGAGUUUGGGCCUGGAGUCAGGCAGAGCUUCAGUGCGAGCUGCUCCUCGCUAACUGGGAGCCUGGGUGGAGGACGGAGCCUUCUCGUUUCUCUGUAAACGGGCACCAGGAGCGGCUUCUGCGCGGCUGGAGGAGAGGCUGUGGGAAGGCGCUCGGCCCGCGGUGCUGCUCCCUGAUGCUGGCCGGCCCCUCGUCCUCGUCGUGGUGCCUCAGGACUUUCCCCGUCCCCAGGGGCUGCUCGUCUCGCGCCUCCCUUGGCGUCUCUCUCUCCACAGCAGCGGCAGAGGGCAGGCAGGACGAGAGUCCCUAUCCGAUGAAUGGUGGAGGGAACUGAGAGGCACGGACACCUAAGUCACUUGCUCGAGGUCAUCCGCCCAGUUUGUGGCUGAUGUGGGACGGACAAGUCCCUCGCUUCGGGCAGUCCCUCUCCUCUCUGUGGAAUGGGCCUGGACUUCCGGUCAGGAGAGGCAACGCCACACCCGGAGCCACUGGCCAGGCCUGGCCUCGUGUGACCGAGCCAGAAGGCAGCGGUUGCUUGUGAAGUCUUUGGGACCCAGAUAACGGGAAAAACUGGCCUAACAUCUAACCCCGCCUGCUCCUGCUGACGGUGGCUGCCACGGAGGGCUGGCCCGGCUGGCGGGAACGGUUCAUGUUCUGCUCUCCAGUUCCACAGUUGUCAGUUUCAACCGGUUUUUGGGGUGCUCCUGCCCCUCAACAGUAGGGUGGGACAAACCCCAGACUCUCCCCUCACGAUUCUAGUCCGGCCGGCCCUCCGUCCGCCGGGGCCCAGGGCGAGAGCAGGCGCCCCGCUUCUCUGGAGCUGGCUGAUGCCCCGUGCUCAGGGGUGACCGCGGCGCCGUGCGGCGGGCAGGGCAGCAAGGGCUUUGCUGUCGGCUGUAAUGCUGGUGGACGUGUCGAUGUCGUGAGGCUUGUAUCUCACCUGAAAACUGACCGAGGAGCAGAGACACACAGCAGAGCUUGCUUGGGAGCUUCGCCCAGCAUUUUCUCAGAGGGCAGUCCCUCCCUCCAGCCCUGAAUCCCGUGUGUCUCUCCGUCCAGGGAGACAGCGCCUCUGGAGGAAGCCCUCACCUCGACAGGCGCGGCUCGGCCCCAGGAACUGGCCCCAGGAACCGGGGUCGGCCGGCUGAGGCAGGUGGGCUGGGCCGCGAGCCCCGGAGGGCAGGGCAGGGGCUGGGGAAGGGAGAGUGUGCCAGGCCUGGCCACACGGGAGCGGAGCGGCCACGUUUGCUGUGUGGCCGCCCAUGGACUGAGGGCAGGAGGGUGGACUCCCUCCACCAGCUCCUCCCUGAGCCUGUCUGUUCACUGCCAGGGGGCAAGGGUUAGUGCUGAGGGCGCCACGUGCGAUCUGGACAGCCCAUCCUAGGCUCGGGGACGGGGCAGCACUGGGGGCCUUCUAAGGGAGGGAGGUGCUCUGGAGUGUCCACUCGGCAAUGCAAGGCCCCGUCUCGGUGUGGGAGAAAGUGCCCUUCUGGUUUGGUUUUCUGUGUCAGCUCGGUUCUGGU